UACAGAGGGUGCAAACGUUGUUCGGAAUUACUGGGCGUAAAGCGUGUGUAGGCGGUCCGCUAAGUCGGGUGUGAAAGCCCUGGGCUCAACCCAGGAAGUGCACUCGAGACUGGCAGGCUAGAGUACUGGAGAGGUUGGUGGAAUUCUCGGUGUAGAGGUGAAAUUCGUAGAUAUCGAGAGGAACACCGGUGGCGAAGGCGGCAUCCUGGACCGAUACUGACGCUGAGGAGCGAAAGCCAGGGGAGCAAACGGG
rnacentral:rRNA from 1 species